GCCACCCCUGAGACAGCAAGACCAAUGCUUCUUCUUCCUCAUCACCCUCAUCAGUGUAAAGACAAGGAUGAAGACUUUUAUGAUGAUCCACUUCCACUGAACACAUACUCCUGCUUAUGUGUCAGUCUGUCUCCUCCUCUUGUGUCCAAGGGAAGUCAUCGCUCCCGCUGGCUCAGAACCAUGGCUGUGCCAGCCGGCACCCAGGUGUGGAGACAAGAUCUACAACCCCUUGGAGCAGUGCUGUUACGAUGAUGCCAUCGUGUCCCUGAGCGAGACCCGCCAAUGUGGUCCCCACUGCACCUUCUGGCCCUGCUUUGAGCUCUGCUGUCCUGAGUCCUUUGGCCUCACAAACGAUUUUGUUGUGAAGCUGAAGGUUCAGGGUGUGAAUUCCCAGUGCCACUCAUCUCCCAUCUCCAGUAAAUGUGAAAGCAGAAGACGUUUUCCCUGAGAAGACAUAGAAAGAAAAUCAACUUUCAGUGAGGCAUCUCGGAAACACAGGCUAGGGUAAUAUGUGUAACAGUAAAGAAGCCUGAGGAAUUUACAAAAUGGUGCAGCUCCAAGCCAUUGUAUGGCCCAUGUGGGAGACUGAUGGGACAUGGAGAAUGACAGUAGUUUAUCAGGAAAUAAAGUGGGUUUUCCAAUGU
rnacentral:sRNA from 1 species